UACGGAGGGAGCUAGCGUUGUUCGGAAUUACUGGGCGUAAAGCGCGCGUAGGCGGCUUUGUAAGUUAGAGGUGAAAGCCCGGGGCUCAACCCCGGAACAGCCUUUAAGACUGCAUCGCUAGAAUCCGGGAGAGGUGAGUGGAAUUCCGAGUGUAGAGGUGAAAUUCGUAGAUAUUCGGAAGAACACCAGUGGCGAAGGCGGCUCACUGGACCGGUAUUGACGCUGAGGUGCGAAAGCGUGGGGAGCAAACGGG
rnacentral:rRNA from 1 species